AUUGAACGCUGUCUGCAGGCCUAACACAUGCAAGUCGAACGAGUGGCGGACGGGUGAGGAAUGUCUGGGAACCUGCCUGAUGGAGGGGGAUAACUACGGGACACGGUAGCUAUUACCGCAUACCAUCAGAGGUGCCCAGAUGGGCUUGGCUAGUUGGUGGGGUAACGGCUCACCAAGGCAACGAUCCCUAGCUGGUCGGAGAGGAUGACCAGCCACACUGGAACUGGGACACGGUCCAGACUCCUACGGGAGGCAGCAGUGGGGAAUAUUGCACAAUGGGCGCAAGCCUGAUGCAGCCAUGCCGCGUGUAUGAAGAAGGCCUUCGGGUUGUAAAGUACGUUCAGCGGGGAGGCGUUACCCGCAGAAGAAGCACCGGCUAACUCCGUGCCAGCAGCCGCGGUAAUAC
rnacentral:rRNA from 1 species